rnacentral:rRNA from 1 species
GCCUACGGGGGGCUGCAGUGGGGAAUUUUGGACAAUGGGCGCAAGCCUGAUCCAGCAAUGCCGCGUGAGUGAAGAAGGCCUUCGGGUUGUAAAGCUCUUUCAGUCGAGAAGAAAAGGCUGCAGUGAAUAACUGUAGUUUAUGACGGUAUCGACAGAAGAAGCACCGGCUAACUACGUGCCAGCAGCCGCGGUAAUACGUAGGGUGCGAGCGUUAAUCGGAAUUACUGGGCGUAAAGGGUGCGCAGGCGGUUUUGUAAGUCAGAUGUGAAAUCCCCGGGCUUAACCUGGGAAUUGCGUUUGAAACUACAAGACUAGAGUGUGGCAGAGGGAGGUGGAAUUCCAUGUGUAGCAGUGAAAUGCGUAGAGAUAUGGAAGAACAUCGAUGGCGAAGGCAGCCUCCUGGGUUAACACUGACGCUCAUGCACGAAAGCGUGGGGAGCAAACAGGAUUAGAUACCCUAGUAGUC